rnacentral:rRNA from 1 species
AGAGUUUGAUCCUGGCUCAGGAUGAACGCUAGCUACAGGCUUAACACAUGCAAGUCGAGGGGCAGCAUGGGGUUUGCUUGCAAACCCCGAUGGCGACCGGCGCACGGGUGAGUAACGCGUAUCCAACCUGCCCCUGUCCUCGGGAUAGCCCGCCGAAAGGCGGAUUAAUACCGGACGCUGUCACAUGAUGGCAUCAGAGCGUGACGAAAGGAUUUUUUCCGGACAGGGAUGGGGAUGCGUCCGAUUAGGCAGGCGGCGGGGCGACGGCCCCCCCACAUUGGAACUGAGACACGGUCCAAACUCCUACGGGAGGCAGCAGUGAGGAAUAUUGGUCAAUGGGCGAGAGCCUGAACCAGCCAAGUAGCGUGAGGGACGACGGCCCUACGGGUUGUAAACCUCUUUUUCGCGGGGAUAAAGUGCGCCACGCGUGGCGUUUUGCAGGUACCGCGUGAAUAAGGACCGGCUAAUUCCGUGCCAGCAGCCGCGGUAAUACGGAAGGUCCGGGCGUUAUCCGGAUUUAUUGGGUUUAAAGGGAGCGUAGGCGGCAUGUUAAGCGUGCUGUGAAAUGCGUCGGCUCAACCGCCGCAGUGCAGCGCGAACUGGCUUGCUUGAGUUCGCUGAAGGAAGGCGGAAUUCGUGGUGUAGCGGUGAAAUGCUUAGAUAUCACGAAGAACCCCGAUUGCGAAGGCAGCUUUCCGUAGCGUUACUGACGCUGAAGCUCGAAGGUGCGGGUAUCGAACAGGAUUAGAUACCCUGGUAGUCCGCACGGUAAACGAUGGAUGCCCGCUGUCGGCCUUUUGGUCGGUGGCCAAGCGAAAGAAACUCAAAGGAAUUGACGGGGGCCCGCACAAGCGGAGGAACAUGUGGUUUAAUUCGAUGAUACGCGAGGAACCUUACCCGGGCUUGAACUGCAGAGGAGGGGAUUGGAGACGGUCCCGCCCUUCGGGGCCUCUGUGGAGGUGCUGCAUGGUUGUCGUCAGCUCGUGCCGUGAGGUGUCGGCUUAAGUGCCAUAACGAGCGCAACCCCUCUCCGUAGUUGCCAUCAGGUUAUGCUGGGCACUCUGCGGACACUGCCACCGCAAGGUGUGAGGAAGGUGGGGACGACGUCAAAUCAGCACGGCCCUUACGUCCGGGGCUACACACGUGUUACAAUGGGGGGUACAGAAGGCUGGCCGUACGCGAGUGCGGCCGAAUCGAGAAAGCCCCCCUCAGUUCGGACUGGGGUCUGCAACCCGACCCCACGAAGCUGGAUUCCGCGAGGGUCGGCCUAGGGUGAAACAGGUGAUUGGGGCUAAGUCGUAACAAGGUAGCCGUACCGGAAGGUGCGGCUGGAACACCU